rnacentral:rRNA from 1 species
GAUGAACGCUAGCUACAGGCUUAACACAUGCAAGUCGAGGGGAAACGACAUCGAAAGCUUGCUUUUGAUGGGCGUCGACCGGCGCACGGGUGAGUAACGCGUAUCCAACCUGCCCACCACUUGGGGAUAACUUUGCGAAAGUAAGACUAAUACCCAAUGACGUCUCUAGAGGACAUCUGAAAGAGAUUAAAGAUUUAUCGGUGAUGGAUGGGGAGGCGUCUGAUUAGCUUGUGAGCGGGGUAACGGCCCACCAAGGCGACGAUCAGUAGGGGUUCUGAGAGGAAGGUCCCCCACAUUGGAACUGAGACACGGUCCAAACUCCUACGGGAGGCAGCAGAGAGGAAUAUUGGUCAAUGGACGAGAGUCUGAACCAGCCAAGUAGCGUGCAGGAUGACGGCCCUAUGGGUUGUAAACUGCUUUUAUAAGGGAAUAAAGUGAGAGUCGUGACUCUUUUUGCAUGUACCUUAUGAAUAAGGACCGGCUAAUUCCGUGCCAGCCGCCGCCGUAA